GCGGAAGUAGCUCAGUGGUAGAGCAUCACCUUGCCAAGGUGGGGGUCGCGGGUCCGAGUCCCGUUUUCCGCUCCA
rnacentral:tRNA from 1 species